UCUCCGCUGCAUGUGUGAGUGCCUGUUCCCGGUGAGUGCAGGCACCACACAGCGAAUGAGUGUCAGUGAUGCUUGAAUGAGGUGAAUAGGGGGAGAAUGGAGUAAGAAAAGAGGAGGAUACCACUGAGGACCUCAUAUGGUUUUGAGACAAGGUCUGUCUGCUUUUUUCUUUCUCAUAUCCCGACAACCUGAAUCUUUGCCGGAUGUGUCACAACUACUCCAGCUGUCGCUGCACCAGCUGCCUCUCUCUCUGCACUCCAAAAGCUUGCGAGAGCUGCUCCAGUUGCUGGACGGUUCCCUGGCACCCACUGAAUGAAUGGAUGAACACUGGAUCUACGAGGGAUCUGUGCUUUGUUGCCGUUUGCACCUUUGAUCUAUUUCUCAAGGAAAUAUGGUGAGCAAAGAGGACACCAAAUGUGUUGUUCUCUCAAAUUCAGAUGAAUCAGAUUCAGAGACCGGCCCGUCACACAAGUCACAGUCCGGAGCAGAAACAGGCCCACAGCAGGUGAAGAAGAGAAACAAAGCUUUACAAGUGCGUUUUAAGGAUAUUUGUGAAGCUCAGAACGAGCAUCGGGGAAGACAUUCCCGGUCCAUUUCCUGCAAAGUAACACACAGGAAGUACAUGACCAUGCCCGCUAGACGAUCUAUCCCAAAUGUGACUAAGAGCACUGGUGUUCAAACCUCCCCAGACCUCACUAAACGAUACAAGACUUUCCCGUUUGAGAGGAAAAAAGGGCACACGUUCAAACAUACUGCUUUGGUGGAAAAUUACAGAGGACAAAACAAUGGAUUCCUGAGUGACAUAAAGGCAGAAGGAGAUGAUGUUCAACCUAUUGCCGAGUCCUCCAAGUACAAAGGUAAGAUUGUGACGCAGACAAAAGCCCUGCUUCACCACACUGAUGACAGCAGUGAUACAGAGGAUUUAAUUUCCAGUGCCAACUGUGAGGAUGGACCCUCCUGUCCAGACUCUUCACAUUUCUCAGAAGAAGGCCACCCAGGUAGCCCUCCAUCUAAAAGUGAAGCCGAAUACCAGCUUUGUGAGAAGUGGAAUAAACAUAAAGGAUUACACAUGGACACCGGCAUUUCCUCAAAGCGCCAGCUGGCUGACUCUAAGUUUUCACAGGACAAACCAAGGGGCACGGGUCCUGUUGCUUGGAACUCUCUGACACAGGUCGAGUCUUUAGGAAGCCCCUCUGUGAGCUGUAAACGGAAAAAGGGUGCGCAGCUAAAUGAACAGCACUUGCAGACAUUUCCCCAUAGUGAAAAGUGUUCAGCCCAGUCACAAGGGCAGUGUAGGACAAGGCAUGUGUCAGCCUCCUCUAAACUGCAGCAAACUGUUGAGGGGGAGGAUGGCUUUCCACCAGGAGGCACAGGAGCCCCAGGCAUGAGGAGCAGCCAGCAGAUAAUACCCUUAUUUGGAGACAAGGAUAUCAAAGCGCAGCUGCAGGCCAUGGAGAGUCUCAUCAACUCAAGCCAGGAGACCAUCAAGGUCCUUCUUGGAGUUAUUCAGGAGCUGGAAAAAGGUGAAGCACAGAGAGAGGGGCUCACGUACAGAACAGGACAAGACACGGCAAAUUGUGAUACUUGUCGAAAUAGCGCCUGCAUCAUUUACAGUGUUGAGCUGGACUUUAAACUGCAGGAGGACAAACUACAGCCUGUGAUGAAGAGACUUUUCCCCCUGGACAGUCAACAAUGCCCUGCUCUGCCCUACCCCAAUGAAGUAUUCACAUCCACUCCAAAACGAAAGUCCAAGACAGAGUCCAAGAAGCAUGCUCGUUGGAAACUUUGGUUCCUCUGAAUAAAACAUGAAGGCUUUGGAAACGGCCAUUUCAUCCCAGUUAUUCUCAAAAUGGUGGGAGGAAUAUUCAGAUGGAGACGAUCAACGUACAUGAAUGAAUGAUGGCGGGAGCCCGUUGAUUUAGGGCUCUGACCUGAGACUGUCAGGCCAGCUGGGGGACAGCAGAGACACAGAACAUUUUAAAUCCAGUCUAAUCUUUUUCUGGCAUGUUUGCUGGACAGGAUCGACACACACACCUGCACAAGCUAGAGCAUAUUGCUUGGCUGCAAGAGGAGGCGCCUUGUGGAGGGUCUUGUAUGACUGAACCUAUAACCAUUGAAUGGACAUCAGCCCCACCUCCAGCAAAGCACAAACAUUUGAGCGUUGAGAGGAACAUGAGUGAAAGACUGACACAGGGACGAUUACAGGACAGUAUGCGAGCAUCGUGCAAUGCCUUCCUCAUUCUCUUUAUUUAUUUACAUGCUGCUCAGUUCUCUGUCUGUCUGAACUUCUGAUGGCCUUUGCUAAAGUUAGAGGUAUUUCUAUCUGUUUCUUUAUCUUUCUAUUGCUCCCUUUCUUUAGCUCACUGUGCAGCUAACUGGCCGGCCAACUUUGCCUCAUUCGUUCUUCCUAAUAUGACACAUAAUGUCCAGAAUCAAUAUUUUAGAUUAUCUUCAUACUAAUAGCUAAGUACUGUAAAUUGAAUUUAAAAUUUUAGAUUUGGAGACCUUCCUCUUAAAGCAAGUUCUAUAGUUAAAAAUAUAGAACGACUUAUUGGGGUUUAAUCAGAAUUUGUUUUAUUCUGCUUUAGAUCUUGUAAUAAAAAAACAACAUAAUUCUUUCUUUUUUUUAACUUGCAACAAAUUGUAAAGGGUAUUUGGCUUUGUUAAUGAGUCCUUUUAGAGUUGUUCAUGUCUUUCUAUCACUUAAUGUGUCACAGCAAAGCUCUGAGGUUCUGAAACUGAGCUCUUUCUGUCACCUCUUUCAUGUCCAUUUACAGUAACACUUCCAGAGGUGUUUCGUCAAUUUGAUUUAUAUUUCUAUUCAACUGCAAACUCCAUUCAGCUUUAUUUUUUCCAGAAGCAGCAAGCAUGUGUCCCACAAAGAAAACUGUGCGCUGAACUUGCAGCAAGAGUAGAAGGGCUAUACAUAGAGCUAGAGGAGUUCAUCACUCUUUUAAGAAGAAAAAAACCUUAUCUCCACCAGCUUUAGUCACAUACAAAAAAAAAGACAAAAAAAACUGAUGUAGCAGUGACACUGAACUUGUUACAAGGUGGUUAUUAUAUAAUUGAUUUUACUGUAAUUUUCUAACUUUAGCACUUGGAAAGUUAAAUGAAAUGUUAAAUGUAUAGUUAAAGUGUCAGGAAGACAAAUAGUCACCCUCCAUUGUUACAUCAUACAGUAGAUGAUAUUAUUCAGGUCACCUAUAUCCAUGCAAAGAGCUGUAUCUUGAGCAAGUGCAAUUUUUUGAUUAUGUGCAAUAUUAUGCAUUUUUAUACUGUUUCUACAUCACAAUUAAAACAUUUUCAACUGAAAGUGAUCCAGUGUGCUCCUGUGUCUUCUGAAUACGAGAAGCAAAAAAGCUGCAAAGUCCAAGGAGUUGUUUUGGAGAGAGGAAGGGAAACAGGAAGCGUGUGAAGUAAGAAUCCCAUUAUUAUCUUUCUGUUUCAGAAAGAUGUUUGUGUCGGUUUAUUCAGGAGUGACUGGUUUAAGAGGAUCUCCAUUCAUUCUAAGGAUGAAACACUCAAACACAACACAUCAUCUGUGUUAAACUGGGGUGACCACCAUUAAACAGAUCAAUCAUGUAAAACAGGGUCCUCAGGGCCCACUGUCCUGCAUGUUUUAGAUCGAUCGAUCCAUCCAUCUACAUAUGAUGAACAACUGUCACAGAGUAAUGA